rnacentral:rRNA from 1 species
AUGUCGACUUGGAGGUUGUGCCCUUGAGGCGUGGCUUCCGGAGCUAACGCGUUAAGUCGACCGCCUGGGGAGUACGGCCGCAAGGUUAAAACUCAAAUGAAUUGACGGGGGCCCGCACAAGCGGUGGAGCAUGUGGUUUAAUUCGAUGCAACGCGAAGAACCUUACCUGGUCUUGACAUCCACAGAACUUUCCAGAGAUGGAUUGGUGCCUUCGGGAACUGUGAGACAGGUGCUGCAUGGCUGUCGUCAGCUCGUGUUGUGAAAUGUUGGGUUAAGUCCCGCAACGAGCGCAACCCUUAUCCUUUGUUGCCAGCGGUCCGGCCGGGAACUCAAAGGAGACUGCCAGUGAUAAACUGGAGGAAGGUGGGGAUGACGUCAAGUCAUCAUGGCCCUUACGACCAGGGCUACACACGUGCUACAAUGGCGCAUACAAAGAGAAGCGACCUCGCGAGAGCAAGCGGACCUCAUAAAGUGCGUCGUAGUCCGGAUUGGAGUCUGCAACUCGACUCCAUGAAGUCGGAAUCGCUAGUAAUCGUGGAUCAGAAUGCCACGGU